ensembl:ncRNA asRNA:CR44793 antisense RNA:CR44793
CGCAAGUAAUCACAGACAAUCGAUAGGCAAAGAAGUUUGUCAUCGGCAGCGGAAUUUCUCAAAAAAUACAAUUCUUGCAAAUAAGCUAAACUAUAAACAAACUGGCUAAACAUUGUUAAAAUAUUAUUUGAACAAGACACUACCACGGUUGAUUAUGCAAUAGUUCAUGUAGAGCACCUCCAGCAGACAACGAAUGAUCCUGUCGCGCGUUUUCAGGUGCUCCUUGAAGUGCACGUAGCGAAAGACGAUCUUCAGGUCAUCGCAGAUCGUCAGGAAGAACAUCCAGAUCAUGCUAGCGCGUAAGCUUUUGUUAUUGUUCAUCUCCAGAAGACGGAAGACCUUGAGAACCUGUUCGAUCACAUCCUCGUCGAAGACGCCAAAGAUUUUGGCACCAGGAAUGGUCAAAGUGAGCAGGUAGGUUGUAGCCGCAUUGAGGGCUAGCUGCAUAUUGAUGUUCUCAUUCAGCUGCUGCGGAGCAGCCUGCUGCACAUGCUCGGGCAAAACCACCAGGCUCACAAGCGAGUAUAUAUACGUCAGGUAGCCAAGCGCUGGAGAAAAUCCAAUUAAGUUGGACCAAUUGUCGUGGGUGUUGCUAUAGCUGGCCUGGUUCUCGUCUCUCAUGGCUCGUAUGAUGGCGGAUAAGUCCCGGAGCAACUGCAGCUGCGUCUCCUGGUGGCCACCAUCCUGCAGGCACAUGGCCAUAGUCCAGAACUUCUCCGCCCGCUGCUGCAGCACACUGCCCUCGGCCUCCUCGCCGUACAGCCACUCCUCCACAUCCACCCACUGCACAUUCGGCUCGUAGUACACCCUUAAAUCCCCAAAAAUACGAUGGAAAUCCGACAUGUUUACAUUUUAGGCGUCCCGUUGCCAAACACAAACCGAUGACCAAACCGAACAGCUGAGCGCAAUGCAGGGCAAUCGAUAAACGAUAAGACGAGAAGAGCGGUUUGUUUUCAAAAUGGUACAAAAUCAGGGCUGAUAUAUUAAUGCAUUUACUUGGCUUAUUAUUAUGCAAUUUAGUUGUUUCGUGGUUACAUACGCGCACUUAGUUUCU